ACAUGUGCCGCUAUAGCUCAGCCGGUUAGAGCGUGGGUCUAAUAAGCCCAAGGUCGCAGGUUCGAUCCCUGCUAGCGGCAUAUAG
rnacentral:tRNA from 1 species